GAUGAACGCUGGCGGCGUGCCUAACACAUGCAAGUCGAGCGAAGCACUUACUUUAGAUUUCUUCGGAAUGACGAAGUUUGUGACUGAGCGGCGGACGGGUGAGUAACGCGUGGGCAACCUGCCCUGUACAGGGGGAUAACAGUUAGAAAUGACUGCUAAUACCGCAUAAGCCCACAGCUUCGCAUGAAGCAGUGGGAAAAACUCCGGUGGUACAGGAUGGGCCCGCGUCUGAUUAGCUAGUUGGUAAGGUAACGGCUUACCAAGGCGACGAUCAGUAGCCGACCGGAGAGGGGGACCGGCCACAUUGGGACUGAGACACGGCCCAAACUCCGACGGGAGGCAGCAGUGGGGAAUAUUGCACAAUGGGGGAAACCCUGAUGCAGCGACGCCGCGUGAGCGAUGAAGUAUUUCGGUAUGUAAAGCUCUAUCAGCAGGGAAGAAAGUGACGGUACCUGACGAAGAAGCCCCGGCUAACUACGUG
rnacentral:rRNA from 1 species